UUUUUUUUUUGAGAAAGGGCAUAAUACGAAGAAAUGUUGGAGUGAAGUUGAAAUUCUUCAUCAUGGUAGCAGAUUCAAUAAGAAUAAAAAUUAUGCUCUAAAGAGCUUUGUCUAGAUAAAAGUAGCUAGAAAACCAAAUAGCUCGUGACAGCUUUAUAUAUAUAUAUGUGUGCGCGCCCAAAUAAAAGUAAAAGAAAAGAAGAAACUAUGAGUUGUCACCAAGAACUUAAAGAUCAGUUGAUUUCAUAGAAAGAGUUUGAAAGAAACAGCUGCAUAAUAUAUUUUGUGGCACUACCAACCAAUAACCUAGGUUUGGC
rnacentral:lncRNA from 1 species